UGAUCCUGGCUCAGAACGAACGCUGGCGGCAGGCCUAACACAUGCAAGUCGAGCGCACCUUCGGGUGAGCGGCGGACGGGUUAGUAACGCGUGGGAACGUACCCUUUUCUACGGAAUAGCCUUUGGAAACGAAGAGUAAUACCGUAUACGCCCUUUGGGGGAAAGAUUUAUCGGAGAAGGAUCGGCCCGCGUUAGAUUAGAUAGUUGGUGGGGUAACGGCCUACCAAGUCUACGAUCUAUAGCUGGUUUUAGAGGAUGAUCAGCAACACUGGGACUGAGACACGGCCCAGACUCCUACGGGAGGCAGCAGUGGGGAAUCUUAGACAAUGGGCGCAAGCCUGAUCUAGCCAUGCCGCGUGAGUGAUGAAGGCCUUAGGGUCGUAAAGCUCUUUCGCCUGUGAUGAUAAUGACAGUAGCAGGUAAAGAAACCCCGGCUAACUCCGUGCCAGCAGCCGCGGUAAUACGGAGGGGGUUAGCGUUGUUCGGAAUUACUGGGCGUAAAGCGCACGUAGGCGGAUUGGAAAGUUGGGGGUGAAAUCCCGGGGCUCAACCCCGGAACUGCCUCCAAAACUAUCAGUCUAGAGUUCGAGAGAGGUGAGUGGAAUUCCAAGUGUAGAGGUGAAAUUCGUAGAUAUUUGGAGGAACACCAGUGGCGAAGGCGGCUCACUGGCUCGAUACUGACGCUGAGGUGCGAAAGUGUGGGGAGCAAACAGGAUUAGAUACCCUGGUAGU
rnacentral:rRNA from 1 species